rnacentral:rRNA from 1 species
UCUGGUCCUUUUGUGCCCGCAGCCGCGGUAAUACGUAUGGUGCAAGCGUUAUCCGGAUUUCCUGGGUGUAAAGGGAGCGCAGGCGGUACGGCAAGUCUGAUGUGAAAUCCCGGGGCUCAACCCCGGUACUGCAUUGGAAACUGUCGGACUAGAGUGUCGGAGGGGUAAGUGGAAUUCCUAGUGUAGCGGUGAAAUGCGUAGAUAUUAGGAGGAACACCAGUGGCGAAGGCGGCUUACUGGACGAUUACUGACGCUGAGGCUCGAAAGCGUGGGGAGCAAACAGG